AGUGAACGCUGGCGGUAGGCCUAACACAUGCAAGUCGAACGGCAGCACAGUAAGAGCUUGCUCUUACGGGUGGCGAGUGGCGGACGGGUGAGGAAUACAUCGGAAUCUACUUUUUCGUGGGGGAUAACGUAGGGAAACUUACGCUAAUACCGCAUCCGACCUACGGGUGAAAGCAGGGGAUCUUCGGACCUUGCGCGAUUGAAUGAGCCGAUGUCGGAUUAGCUAGUUGGCGGGGUAAAGGCCCACCAAGGCGACGAUCCGUAGCUGGUCUGAGAGGAUGAUCGGCCACACUGGAACUGAGACACGGUCCAGACUCCUACGGGAGGCAGCAGUGGGGAAUAUUGGGCAAUGGGCGCAAGCCUGAUCCAGCCAUACCGCGUGUGUGAAGAAGGCCUUCGGGUUGUAAAGCCCUUUUGUUGGGAAAGAAAAGCAGCAGGUUAAUACCCCGCUGUUCUGACGGUACCCAAAGAAUAAGCACCGGCUAACUUCGUG
rnacentral:rRNA from 1 species